rnacentral:rRNA from 1 species
CACGCCGCGUGAGUGAUGAACGGUUCUCGGAUCGUAAAACUCUGUUGUUAGGGAAGAACAGUGCCAUAGUAACUGAUGGCACCUUGACGGUACCUAACCACGAAAGCCACGUGCUAACUACGUGCCAAGCACCCGCGGCUAAUACGUACGUGUGGCAAGACGUUGUCCGGCAAUUAUUGGCGCGAUAAAGCGCCUCCGCAGGCGGCUUCUUCACAGUCCUGAUGCUCGAAAUCUCUACGGGCUCCAACCGAUAAACCGCUGCAUCGGCAAACUGCCGCAACUUGCAGUGCACACACAGGACCAGUGGAAUUCCCCGUGCUCCCGGUGACAUGCGUAGCACAUGUGGAGCCAACACCAAUGGCGAACGCGACUCUUCUGGUCUGUAACU